CUGGAAAGUCCACGUUUUUUGCC
rnacentral:piRNA from 1 species